UGCAAGUCGAGCGGAUUUUGGUAGCUUGCUACCAAAGUUAGCGGCGGACGGGUGAGUAACGCGUAGGAAUCUACCUAGUAGUGGGGGAUAACGUUCCGAAAGGAACGCUAAUACCGCAUACGACCUAAGGGUGAAAGGGGGGGAUCUUCGGACCUCUCGCUAUUAGAUGAGCCUGCGUAGGAUUAGCUAGUUGGUAGGGUAAAGGCCUACCAAGGCGACGAUCCUUAACUGGUCUGAGAGGAUGAUCAGUCACACUGGAACUGAGACACGGUCCAGACUCCUACGGGAGGCAGCAGUGGGGAAUAUUGGACAAUGGGGGAAACCCUGAUCCAGCCAUGCCGCGUGUGUGAAGAAGGCCUUCGGGUUGUAAAGCACUUUCGGUCAGAAAGAAGGGUGUGUAGUUAAUAACUGCAUGCCUUGACGGUACUGACAUAAGAAGCACCGGCUAACUCCGUGCCAGCAGCCGCGGUAAUACGGAGGGUGCAAGCGUUAAUCGGAAUUACUGGGCGUAAAGCGCGCGUAGGCGGUUUGUUAAGUCGGAUGUGAAAGCCCUGGGCUCAACCUGGGAACUGCAUACGAUACUGGCAAGCUAGAGUGCAAUAGAGGGGGGUAGAAUUCCAGGUGUAGCGGUGAAAUGCGUAGAUAUCUGGAGGAAUACCGGUGGCGAAGGCGGCCCCCUGGAUUGACACUGACGCUGAGGUGCGAAAGCGUGGGUAGCAAACAGGAUUAGAUACCCUGGUAGUCCACGCCGUAAACGAUGUCAACUAGCUGUUGGGACUCUUGUAGUUCUGGUAGCGCAGCUAACGCACUAAGUUGACCGCCUGGGGAGUACGGCCGCAAGGUUAAAACUCAAAUGAAUUGACGGGGGCCCGCACAAGCGGUGGAGCAUGUGGUUUAAUUCGACGUCACGCGAAAAACCUUACCUACUCUUGACAUCCUGCGAAACUUCUAGAGAUAGAUUGGUGCCUUCGGGAGC
rnacentral:rRNA from 1 species